CUGUGCAAGGAGUUAUGGCCAUUUUACUGAAGCGACACAGUGCAGUCCAAAGUGCAGAAUACGGUCCGUAAAUCAAUUUACGGCCCGUAAACUGACUUUACGACCAGCAGUGUUCAGGUCGUAAAUUUCACUUUCACAGAACAAUAUAUAUUCGUCCAUAUCAGUUCAACUCAUUAUUUUUCAUUCCUUCAAACCCUAGAACGACCUCCUACUCUCCUCCAACAUCAAGAACACCAAGGGUUUUCAAGAAAACCCAUCUCAAGAUUCAAGAAUCAAGAUUUGGGAAAUCUUCUCCAAAAUUCAAGUCUUUAAUUCAGGUUUUGGAGCAAUUAAGGGUUUGCAACAUAUUUCCUUCCAAAGUGAUUCAAGCUAGGUUUUGGGUGUUCUUCAAUAGAAAAGUGAAUUGUUAAAUCUUGUUUAACAAAUUAAGGUAACGAAGAAGAGCAGGUUCGUGAUACUUUCGACGCUUAAUAGGACUUGCUACUGCUGUGGAUUUGGUGAGCCCACAUCCUUGUUCGUGGGACACUUUCCGUUUCAUUUAUUAUUCUAGAUUUCCGGGCUGCGUCCCGAAGUUUGACGAUUGUUAUGUCUCUUAGAAGCUCCAUAGAUAGUUGUCAGAAUUGUUGGUAGAUUGUCAAAAGUCUCGUACGACUUAAUGGGUGUUUGCCACGUUGAUGGCCAUUGCUUAUAAAGACUUCCGCUGAUUUAAUUCAUGUGUUACAUUUAAUUUAUAAAUUGUUGGAGGCGAAUAUUGAACCUGGCGGGUUCAAGUAUUAUUAUUAUGUCGUUUAGGUUCUUCCGAUGUUGUUCAUGACGUCGGAUGCCGGUCACGUCUAGGGUGGGUUUUGGGGCGUGACAUAUAGCAGUCCACUUUAAAUUGUGUUUCCUGAUUCGUUAACCGUUGGAUCGUGCUGAAAUUUGAACUGUGGGUUCUCAACAUCUGGUUCUUAGAUUUCAACGGUGAUCGGAUUUUGUGGUCUUUAGCUCCUGUUUUUUACUAUGAACAGGAGCUCGUUUUUGGGGUUAUUUCUCUCCUUUCUUUACUAGUUUUGGUGCUAUCUUUUAUGUAUUGUUUCUCGGUGCUUGGCUUUGUUGUUGUAGCCAUUUAGAGAACAUUGUUGUAACUCUUGUUGAUUUUAGUGGAGCUUUUGUGAGCCGGAGGUCCCGUGGAUGUUUCCUCUUCACCUUGAAGGGUUUUACCACGUAAAUUUGGUGUCUCUUGCAUUCAAAUUUUUGCUUACUUUGCUAUUUUAUUGUUGGUAUAGCUGCUGCCCCGAUUACCAUUUAUGCUAGUGUUUAUUGUAUUCUCUUGGUUCAAAUAGUGUGGGAAGUUUUGACUUAGGUAUUUCUUCCACUGUUACCUUGUUGUGCAAUUUGGUUAUUGCUUGUUUCUUCCCAACAAAGUGGUAUCAGAGCUUGUGGUUGUAUUUGGUUGUGUUGAUUGUCUAUUUGAAUGAUGGAGGCAAAUAUGAGCAAGAUGGUUUGUUUAAAUGACAGUAAUUACCAUAUUUGGAAAAGCAAGAUGAAAGAUCUUCUAUUUGUCAAGAAAUUGCAUUUACAUGUGUUUGCUUCUAAGAAACCCGAGUCUAUUGAAGAUGAGGAUUGAGAAUUUGAGCACUUACAGGUUUGUGGCUAUAUUAGUCAAUGGGUUGAAGAUAAUGUUUGAAAUCAUAUUGUGAAUGAGACAAAUGUUAAAAGCUUGUGGGAAAAGCUCAAGACACUUUAUGCUCCGAAGACUGGCAAUAAUAAGUUGUUCCUACUGAAACAGUUGAUGAAUAUUAGAUACAAAGAGGGAAGUCCUAUUUCUGAUCAUAUAAAUUGUUAUAUCCCGUAUUUUUGCACAUUCGGAUAAUUUGAGAUAAUUGUGACUAGUAAGAGAUAAGGCAAUAUUUUUGAUCUUAUUUAAUACAUAAGUUGUUCAUGAAAAUAUUGAUGCGGAAAUAUUGAGGAAGGCUAAGGGCAAAAUUGGAAAUUUGGAAAAUAGUUUCAUGAAUUACAAAAAUUAGUCAUUAAAUAAUUGGGCUUGGAAAAAAAAAAGGCCCAAGUGUGGCCGGCCAAGGGUAUAUGGGCCAAGGCCCAUGUGGAAGCUAAAUUAGUAAUAAAAAGUAAGGACCCAUUAUCAUUUUAUCAUCUUCCAUUCAAGAACAUUCAAGAAAAAUCUUGAGAGCAAAAGACCACCCUAUUCGGCCAAGAAAGAAAAAAUUUAAGGCCAUCAAUCUUGAUCCAAAAAAAUAUAUCCUCCUUGUAUU